AUUGAACGCUGGCGGCAGGCCUAACACAUGCAAGUCGAGCGGAUGAAGGGAGCUUGCUCCUGGAUUCAGCGGCGGACGGGUGAGUAAUGCCUAGGAAUCUGCCUGGUAGUGGGGGAUAACGUCCGGAAACGGGCGCUAAUACCGCAUACGUCCUGAGGGAGAAAGUGGGGGAUCUUCGGACCUCACGCUAUCAGAUGAGCCUAGGUCGGAUUAGCUAGUUGGUGGGGUAAAGGCCUACCAAGGCGACGAUCCGUAACUGGUCUGAGAGGAUGAUCAGUCACACUGGAACUGGAACACGGUCCAGACUCCUACGGGAGGCAGCAGUGGGGAAUAUUGGACAAAGGGCGAAAGCCUGAUCCAGCCAUGCCGCGUGUGUGAAGAAGGUCUUCGGAUUGUAAAGCACUUUAAGUUGGGAGGAAGGGCAGUAAGUUAAUACCUUGCUGUUUUGACGUUACCAACAGAAUAAGCACCGGCUAACUACGUG
rnacentral:rRNA from 1 species